AUGGCUGAGGUACUGAACAUUGCUAAAAAACUGUGUGAAGGUAAAAAAGAGGUCUAUGAAUUGUUUGUUAAAUAGGCCAGGAAAAGUCCUCCUGCAGUCUAAGGGCCAGAUGACAGCAGGAAAUGCAGUCAGAAUCACCUGGAAGGAAAAGUUGCAACCUCAAAUAAAAUUACCAGUUGCAUUUUUCUGUUGUUACAGGAAGCAGGUAUUAAAACUGCUUUCACCAGAAAAUGUGAGGAGACAGCUUUCAUUGUGCCCCAGUGUGAAAUAAUUCCAACUGAAUGGUUUGCAGAAGAAUAGCAACUGGUUCUUUACUCAAAAGAAAUCCUGGUGCCAAGAAAGGAUAUGAGUUUUACCCACCUAAAAUGGAGAUGUUUUUCAAGGAUGAUGCCAAUCAUGACCCACAGUGGUCUAGGGAACAGCUAACUGCAGCAAAAUUUGGCUUUGCUGCACUUGGUAUAAAACUGAAGUGGGUAUCAUGAGUCAUGCCACAUAGGUUGUUUUGAAAUACUGGAGACAUCCUGGUUGCCCCCUAGAACUGUACACUGGUUGAUACGAAGAAUGAAUUUGGUGUUGAUGUGACCAGCAAAGAAAUUGUUCUCACUGAUGUUAUUGAUAAUGAUUCCUAGAGACAGUGACCAUCAGGAGAUCAAAGCCAAUCAAAAGAUAAACAGUCGUAUCAAGGCUUCAGUGUAACUCCUCAAGGGUUCCAAAUGGUACAGAAAAACUUUGCAUGGGUUGUAGAGAUUACAGUUGCUUUUGAAAUCAGAAAGUCAGUGCAGUGUUAUAGUACUGAUGGGUUCUACUUCUGACCUUAGUCACCAUGAAAAAAAUCAAGGCCUGUGGAAAUUUUGGCAUUCCAUGUGGACUUCGAGUAACAUCUGCACAUAAAGGACCAGAUGAAACUCUGAGGAUUAAAGCUGAGUAUGAAGGGGUAGCAGUCGUACUGUAUUUGUGGCAGUGGCAGGCAGAAGCAAUGGUUUGGGAUCAGUGAUGUUUGGGAACACUGCACAUUCAGUUAUCUGCUGUCCUCCCCUCACACCAGACUGAGGAGUUCAGGAUAUGUGGUUUCCUCUUCAACUACCCAGUGGUCUCGGCUGUUCAACCAUACUUUCUCCAGAAGGAUCAGCUCAGUUUGCUGCUCAGAUCUUUGGAUUAAACAAUGACUUAUUAUGGGGCAAACUGCAAGCAAGCACUUUGAGCACAUGGAUUUCUUGGAAGAAAGGUGACAAGAAAAUCACAGAAAGAACAUUGCAUUUUUUAGGGGGAAAACUACAAAUUUCUAAUUUAGCUGCAGAAAAAUCAAGCAAGAUGAAAAAAUUUUAA